UACGGGGGGGGCAAGCGUUGUUCGGAAUUACUGGGCGUAAAGCGUGCGCAGGCGGUUAUGUAAGACAGGUGUGAAAUCCCCGGGCUUAACCUGGGAACUGCAUUUGUGACUGCAUAGCUAGAGUACGGCAGAGGGGGAUGGAAUUCCGCGUGUAGCAGUGAAAUGCGUAGAUAUGCGGAGGAACACCGAUGGCGAAGGCAAUCCCCUGGGCCUGUACUGACGCUCAUGCACGAAAGCGUGGGGAGCAAACAGG
rnacentral:rRNA from 1 species